rnacentral:tRNA from 3 species
GGAGGAAUACCCAAGUGGUUGAAGGGACCGGUUUCGAAAACCGGCAGGGGUCACAAGCCCGCGCGGGUUCAAAUCCUGCUUCCUCCGCCA